GCUUUCCUUGCAUCAUUGCUGGGAUGAAGCUGGUCCUACUGUAGGGCCAUGAGUGGUUCAUUAGGCAGAUGAAGUAUAACUGUGAAGGAGACCUCCUCUUUACCGCGACCAAGGAACCUAUCGUUAAUGCAUGGUACUCUGUGAAUGGUGAGAGGCUGGGCAUCUACCUGGGCCAUACCAGAGCUGUGUGGUAUGUAGAUGCUGACUGGGACACCAAGCAUGUCCUCGUCCAUUCAGCUGACAAUAGCUGUCAUCUCUGGGCCUGUGAAACAGGGAAACAGCUGGCCCUACUCAAGAACAAUUCAGCUGUGUGGAUCUGCAGUUUUGACUUUGGGGGCAAUAUCAUCAUAUUCUCCACAGAGAAGCAGAAAAGCUAUCAGUGCUUUGUGAGCUUAUUUGACCUGCAGGAUCCGAGCCAGACUGACAACAAUGAGUCCUACCAGAAGAUCCCUUGCAAUAACUCUAAAAUCACUAGUGCCCUGUGGGGACUGCAUCGUUGCAGGCCAUGAGAGUGGAGAGCUCAACCAGUAUAGUGCCAAGCCUGGAGAGGUGUUGGUGAAUGUUAAGGAGCACUCCCAGCAGAUCAGCAACAUCUAUUUAUCCACGGACAUGACCAUGUUUGUCACUGCAUCCAAAGACAACACAGCCAAGCUUUUUGACUCUACAACUCUUCAACAUCAGAAGCCUUUCUGAACAGAACGUCUCAUCAGCUCAACUACCCUCUUCCCCAACUAUGACCAUGUUGUGCUGGGCAGUGGUCAGGAAGCCACGGAUGUAACCACAACCUUCACCAGGUUUGGCAAGUUUGAGUCCAGGUUCUUCCAUUUGGCCUUUGAAGAAGAGUUCAGAAGAGUCAAGGGGCACUUUGGACCUAUCAACAGUGUUGCCUUCCAUUCUGAUGGCAAGAGCUACAGCAGUGGCAGUGGCAGUGAGGAUGGUUAUGUUCAUAAUCUACUACUUCGACCCACAGUAUUUU